rnacentral:tRNA from 1 species
UCCCUGCUGGCUCAGAUGGUAAAGAAUCUGCUUGCAAUGCAGGAAACCCGGGUUCAAUUCUUGGGUUGAGAA